rnacentral:rRNA from 1 species
UACAGAGGGGGCAAGCGUUGUUCGGAAUUACUGGGCGUAAAGGGCGCGUAGGCGGCCUGCUAAGUCGAACGUGAAAUCCCCGGGCUCAACCCGGGAACUGCGUCCGAGACUGGCAGGCUCGAAUCCGGGAGAGGGAUGUGGAAUUCCAGGUGUAGCGGUGAAAUUCGUAGAUAUUCGCAAGAACACCAGUGGCGAAGGCGGCUCACUGGCCCGGUACUGACGCUGAGGUGCGAAAGCGUGGGGAGCAAACAGG